GUGAGUCAUCGAAUCUUUGAACGCACCUGGCACUGGAGGCAACUCUGGUACACCUGUUUGAGCGAGGGAAAGGAAAGUGGUUGUAAAGCGGGAGCUUUCUGACUGAAAGAGAUGGUGGGCGUGGCUGCACGUGAGGACGAGAGUCAUGGACGAGCGUAGCACAGGCAGCCACACAAACCCACCCGACAACUCAACAUUCUCAAAUCAGGCGAGAGGACCCGCUGGACUUAAGCAUAUCAAUAAGCGGAGGA
rnacentral:misc_RNA from 1 species